UCAUCUAUACCCGCAUAGAAAAAUACAAUUUGCCAUAAAUUCCAAACAGUAAAUUGCCUCUAACUGGUUAUGUAACAUUAUCUCAAGGAGUUUGUUUUAUGUCGAGCAAUAUGAAACCGAAACCCAAUAUUAUAAUCAAUAGUAUGCAAAACACAUAUCAAGUGGUGACAAUUUGAUAUAGUACCCAGGCAUUGUUGGAUGAUAGUGAUAUAAUAACUUGUAUUAAGUGGUUGCAAUGUAAGAUCACCGUAUAUGAAAUUGUUGGUUUUUAUAUUUGAGGAACACACUCACACCCGUGCAUUUGACUAUACAUAAAUUUUGUUCAACAACAUGGGAUACUGUAAUUAGUGAUGUAUUUGUAAGCGAUGUGUUUGGGAAAAAUGGCAUCGUUAUGCUAUCGAGAGCGUCAAGCGUUUUGUUACAUUCAGCGUGCAAUUGUUUAUAAGAGCCUAACUCACAAACGUAAACAUUUGAAAAUAUUUGGAACACUUAAAUAUAUAUUUCGUUAUUUUGCUAACACAUCUAAUCUCCUGUGAUGUCGACACACUUUUUUUUUAAUUUUUUGCAUCGAUUGUUUUAUUCUGUUAUCCCUCGACGAGGAUUAAAGAAAAAAAAAAAAUUUUGUUAUUAGAUUUUUUUUGUCAUUUGAUCAUAUUACUGGAAUGAGCCCUUUCCAAAUGUUAUGCUAGUUUUGUUUUUCGCGGUGCAGGAGCAAUCAGGGAAAAAUUGCGAAAUGCAAAAUCCACUUCGUUAACAUCGUAAGCAGCACCCAGUGGACAAGCGGCCCCCAACCAGGAUGAUCUUCCUCUUACAUGGAACGUACGGACCCGGGAGUAACAGAUUCACAAGCAAUCCAGCAGCGGGUUGAAGGAAAUGGAAUCUUCAAGGAUGCGGAGCUGAUGAUGAACCGUGGUGAGCGAUUGCCGCAGGAGGAGCCCUUGAAGGCAGGGGAAAAUAACGUAAGCUGAUGUUUAGAACGUCUGGCAAGGCGUAAACUCAGAAAGCACGGAUGGAAUUUCCAGGACUAAGCUAUGGCGAUAGUGGGAGCUGUUCCGGAGAAAGUUAUUCAUGGAAAAUGCCGAUGAUUGUUGCGUUCCGUAACCCCGUUCUAAGUUAUGCUGCCUGCUAGAUACUGUGCUCCUGCUUCGGUUCUAUUGCCACUCUCUGCAAGCGGAAAAGAAAUAUCGCCACCUGUCGCUACUGAAUCUAAAUUGAAAUCACAAAUUAAGCUAAAAGCGAAGUUUAACAACAUUUCAAUAGUGGGAUCAACUUUUGAGGAGUUUGGGUAUAAUGAGCUAUUAUCGAAUGCUUUCAAUUAAGAUUCAGUCGCCACAGGGAGCAAUGUUACUUUGUAGUUUGCAAUUAAAUUCCAAAUUUAUGUGUUAUUAGUUGGCGAUACCGAUACGAUAUGAUAAUACGAAUUACCUUGUAAUGCAAUGCAUAUUUUACCUAUAUUAGUAAUCAAAAUAUACCCAUUAAAAUAUUUGAUUUUUGCUUUAAUUUUUGAAGCAAUUUGCUUUUUUCUAGCAGCUGCUUUCGCAAAUAAGUUCAUUUAUUUUAUUUUAAUUUAUUGUUAUUCUAUUUGUUUGCGAAAACAGUUGUUAGAAAAAAGUAAAUUGCUUAGAAUAAAUAUUUCGUAGUAAAAACAGAUUCUAACAAUACGGCAUGCUGUUCAUUCUAACAUAUAGAACAAUACAUGAACUGUUUCUUUUAAUGUUCUGAUUUUCGGCCAAUUUUAUGGUUUAACCACUUUGAAACAGUUUGGCUCAUAGUAAGCCUUGCAAAAAAUGGAUAAUAUGUCUACACUAUGGCAUACAGUAUUGCGAAAAUUUUGUUCGGGAAAAAUGCUGAUUUUUUAUUGUAACCUAACUUAACCGCCUAUUCCCCAUAUUGUGAUUUGGCCCAUUACAAUAUGCCAAAUGGGUUACAACAAUAUUCUCACAUUAUCACUUAAUGUGAUGACGAAUAAUAUGUGAUAUUGUUCAGGCAAUGUAGCAAAUUGUUGUUAACAAUAUGCGAUAUAAUGCACUUACAGUUUACAACUAUGCGGGUAUUUACUUUCAUGCCCAAAACAGUCAUUACCAAAUCAACAACUUUUCACUUUGGAUCGUAUUGCUUUUUACAGUAGUGCAAAUCGAAGGGAUUUUCUGUUGAUUUCUCUGGUAGGUUUGUUUUGGUCCUCAAAUCAACACUGACAGCAUUGCGAUCUUAAAGGAAAAGCACUUCUGAUCAUGUUGGUUACAACAUUGAAUAGUUAAGGGAUUUUUCCCUUACAUCUAGCGUGCAGAAUUUUUACCGUGCAGUAAAUGAACAUUUGUGAGAGUCUCGGAUACUGACAUCUCCAGACCACUGCAAACGAUCGCAUUCCUCAGUUUCUUACCAGUUCACAAGCCGAUUCUUGGCGGUAGUUGGAAUAAAUCAGUCACACUGUCUCUUACAACUUUCAUUUCUGCACACCCAUUGUAGCGCAGAGGGCCGUCUGGGGAACUGCUGGCCAUCGGCCACACAAAACCAAAAGUAAUCAAUUGACGGAGAGAAAUACAAACGGCUUUGUUUUGAUUUUCAUUUGAGAUUGCUAUGAUCAAAAUCAUGUAAAUUUGACACUUCGAGUACCACAGCCAAGACACACACCUACUAGAUGUUACGUCACAAGGGUUGAAGCGCCAUUGAAAGUCUAAUAUAUGUCUAUUAAUGAACCAUUACAGCUUCGCUAAUUUGGUGUGGGAAAGUAGGCCUUUUCCUGUCAAAUUUGCGUGAGGUAAAACAGCCUAUUACGAUGAGAAAUUGCAAAAAGAGAUAUUUUUCUCUUUAAAAUCAAAGAGCGUCAAGGCACACUUACCUAUGCCGCACUGAAAUUUGCACUUUUUAUGCGAGGUAUGUACUACAAACGGAAUCGCUCAAGUAAUUAUCGUUCAGUGCAUUAUUUUUCCGUGACCGGAAUGGUCAAGAAAUUUAACACAGCAAGCCCCAUUUGAUUUGACGUUUAGUUUCAUCUCCGUACUAGGAUCCGGAAUAAAGUGACACUUUAUUAUUUCUUGAGCGAUUCCUUGCCUGAAUUUUCCACGCAUCAAUAUAGGCCAAGAAAUUUCUUGCGAUCUGCGUAUUGUCUAUCCGGUUGGAAUCAGGACAGACAUUCAAUCAAAAAUUGCCAUUUCCUUGGACCACAAGUGUCGCAUCUGUUUCGCAUCUAGUGUGCUGUGUUGCUGACAACAACGGGAAGGAUGCGCACUACUUUUAA